AAGUCGUAACAAGGUUUUCGUAGGUGAACCUGCGGAAGGAUCAUUCAUGAUAAGCGUCGGCUGCCGCGUUCGCGCUGCAGUUGGACUCUUUUCUCUCUUUAAAAGGAGUGCUCUUCGGAGCGCGGUUUCCCUCGGGAGAUCAGAGGCUGAUGAAAUGUUUUCUGAAAGCAUUUUCGACACACACAGUCCUCAAUCCUUGCCAAAUAAAAGUGAUAGUUGAAAAGGCUUUUCUCUUAAACUACUAUUCUUACCAUUCUAUUCUAAUAUAACUAAACUAAAUCCAAAAAAACUUUUGACAACGGAUCUCUUGGUUCUC
rnacentral:misc_RNA from 1 species